rnacentral:rRNA from 1 species
CCUACGGGUGGCAGCAGUGAGGAAUAUUGGUCAAUGGACGAGAGCCUGAACCAGCCAAGUAGCGUGAAGGAAGACGGCCCUAUGGGUUGUAAACUUCUUUUAUCGGAGAAUAAAAUGUUCCACGUGUGGGAUUUUGCGUGUACCAGAAGAAUAAGGAUCGGCUAACUCCGUGCCAGCAGCCGCGGUAAUACGGAGGAUCCGAGCGUUAUCCGGCUUUAUUGGGUUUAAAGGGAGCGUAGGUGGAUCUUUAAGUCAGUCGGUAAAUUUUGCGGGUCAACCGUCGUAUUGCAGUUGAAACUGGCAGUCUUGAGUACAGUAGAGGUGGGCGGAAUGCGUGGUGUAGCGGUGAAAUGCUUAGAUAUCACGAAGAACUCCGAUUGCGAAGGCAGUUCACUGGACUGCAACUGACGCUGAGGCUCGAAAGUGUGGGGAUCGAACAGGAUUAGAUACCCCAGUAGUC